rnacentral:rRNA from 1 species
CCUACGGGGGGCAGCAGUGAGGAAUAUUGGUCAAUGGACGAGAGUCUGAACCAGCCAAGUCGCGUGAAGGAUGACUGCCCUAUGGGUUGUAAACUUCUUUUAUAUGGGAAUAAAAUGUUCCACGUGUGGGAUUUUGUAUGUACCAUAUGAAUAAGGAUCGGCUAACUCCGUGCCAGCAGCCGCGGUAAUAAGGAGGGUCGGAGCGGUAUCCGGGUUUAUUGGGUUUUAAGGGAGCGUAGGUGGAUUGUUAAGGCAGUUGUGAAAGUUUGCGGCUCAACCGUAAAAUUGCAGUUGAAACUGGCAGUCUUGAGUACAGUAGAGGUGGGCGGAAUUCGUGGUGUAGCGGGGAAAUGCUUAGAUAUCACGAAGAACUCCGAUUGCGAAGGCAGCUCACUGGACUGCAACUGACACUGAGGCUCGAAAGUGUGGGGAUCAAACAGGAUUAGAUACCCGAGUAGUC